CAGCUCAGCCUGUGAUCAUGGGAUUGCUACAAGACCAUCCAUCACCACCAUUAAGAAGAUCAGCGUUCAUGGUUAUCGAGGUUUUCUGAUGUUUGAAAGAAACUUGGCUGACGUGAAUGUGAGGGUCGAACUAUUCAGCAGAUUGGAAGGCAUUAAGGUAUUUUUCAACACUGGCCACAUGAUCAAAGUUGGUAACAAUUCCGGAAGAAGAUCUACAGACGGAUUUAUAUUUGAUGACAAUGAUAAAAUUAAUGCAGCAACAAUGUGGCAAGAAAAUAGAUAUUUUGAUGGAUUCACAUUUGAGGUCGCCAACAGUAAUGGUACAGUAAAAACAUAUUCUGCCAAGUGUACGGAUCUGUCUGAGCCUGUGAAGAUUGAUGUGAAGUCUGGAAAAUGUUACGGCAUUACAGCAAGAUGUGGAGAAAAAUGUACUCCAAGCGCUCGGAUUCUACUUCAUUUAGAUUCUCAGUAAUGAAAGUAAUAAUGCAGAGAUGAAAAUAUAGCAUAGUGUGAGAUUUGAAUCAAUAAAUAAUACUUGUACAUGUUUUCAAGCACACACAGAAUCAAAAAUUUGAGAUUUAUUGUAAUGUAACAAUGGUGGUUGUUAAAAAGGUGAAAAGCAAUUGAUAUUUGAUGUGUUUAAUGUGUUGUUUUUAAUUCAUUAAUUUAAUGGUUUCAUUUAAUCAAAUAAUCAUGUGUAUUUAUUAGUCAUUUAUAUAUGUUUAUUUGAUUAUUUUUGGAAUGUAAUUAUUUAGAUCAAUUAUUUUGGUUAUUUAAAGUCUACAUAAACUGGAAGUUGUUGAUGCUUUUCAGUGUGUUGAUGUACUUCAGACUAAAACAGAAUAUUGAGUAGGGGCAGGGCUUUCUUUUUGCAAAUAAUUUGAAUUUUACGGUAUCACCCUAUGAAAGGGGCUAGUCUCUUUAAGCAAACUAACAGUAAGAGUGGUGCGGUUAAGAAUAUUGUAGGGGGAAAAAAUCAGAGAAUUAACUUGUUCACAUAAAUAACAUAAUAAUGUGUGGUUGCAAAAUAAGCAUUGUUAAUUUUGAUUUCAGAUGACUUUGCACAAUGUACAAUGUAAUGUAAUGUCAAUGGACAAUGUUGCAAAGCAAUAAUUGUCCAUUGCUAUUGCUUAUGGUAUAAUAAAACUACUGAUCAAAGGGAAACAUAAAGGCUAACCAAGAUUUAAUAAACACUUUUU